GACGAACGCUGGCGGCGUGCUUAACACAUGCAAGUCGAACGGAAAGGCCCUGCUUUUGUGGGGUGCUCGAGUGGCGAACGGGUGAGUAACACGUGAGUAACCUGCCCUUGACUUUGGGAUAACUUCAGGAAACUGGGGCUAAUACCGGAUAGGAGCUCCUGCUGCAUGGUGGGGGUUGGAAAGUUUCGGUGGUUGGGGAUGGACUCGCGGCUUAUCAGCUUGUUGGUGGGGUAGUGGCUUACCAAGGCUUUGACGGGUAGCCGGCCUGAGAGGGUGACCGGCCACAUUGGGACUGGGAUAGGGCCCAGACUCCUACGGGAGGCAGCAGUGGGGAAUAUUGCACAAUGGGCGGAAGCCUGAUGCGGCAACGCCGCGUGCGGGAUGACGGCCUUCGGGUUGUAAACCGCUUUCGCCUGUGACGAACCGUGAGUGACGGUAAUGGGCAAAGAAGCACCGGCUAACUACGUG
rnacentral:rRNA from 1 species